GACGAACCGUACGAACGUUAUUCGGAAUUACUGGGCUUAAAGGGUGCGUAGGCUGCGCGGAAAGUUGGGUGUGAAAUCCCUCGGCUCAACCGAGGAACUGCGCUCAAAAACUACCGUGCUCGAGGGAGACAGAGGUGAGCGGAACUUAGGGUGGAGCGGUGAAAUGCGUUGAUAUCCUAAGGAACACCCGUGGCGAAAGCGGCUCACUGGGUCUCUUCUGACGCUGAGGCACGAAAAGCUAGGGUAGCGAACGGGG
rnacentral:rRNA from 1 species